CACAGCACUUCCGCUUCCUGUUCGCAGCGUCGACUAUUAGGCUAGGGUCCGGCGCUUGAGCUGGAGGUUGUGGCGUCUGCAGGUUCGAGGCGUUUGGAGCUCCAGCCAGGAUGAUCGAGGUUGUUUGCAACGACCGUUUGGGGAAGAAGGUCCGCGUUAAAUGCAAAUGAAAUCCAUGAUGGGAUGAACCUGGAGCUUUAUUACCAAUAGAGCAGAAUUCCUUCCCCUGCCCUACUUUGCUUUCCUCCCACACUGUCCACACUGGUAUGGAUGCUUGUUUUUAAAAACUCACCUUAAUAAAAACUUAGAUAUUG